GAUGAACGCUGACAGUAUGCUUAACACAUGCAAGUCUUUGGCGAAGCUGUGCUUGCACAGCCUAGCCAAGGCGGACGGGUGAGUAACGCGUAAGGAACUUGCCCUGCAGUCAGGGAUUACCGACGGAAACGACUGAUAAGACCUGGUAAAGUCAGGCGGACUCAUGUCCAGCCUGGUGAAAAGUGAUGCUGCAGGAGAGCCUUGCGUCCUAUUCGCUUGUUGGUGGGGUAACGGCCUACCAAGGCGAUGAUAGGUAGCCGGCCUGAGAGGGUGGACGGCCUGAGGGGGAGUGAGAUACGGGCCUUACUCCGACGGGAGGCAGGAGUGGGGAAUAUUGGACGAUGGGGGCAAGCCGGAGCCAGCAAGUCUGUGGGCACGAUGAAGGUUUUCGGAUUGUAAAGUGCGUUCAGGAGGGAAGAAAAAAAUGACGGAGCCUGCAGAAGAAGCGACGGCUAAAUACGG
rnacentral:rRNA from 1 species